UCUAAACUAUUGAAUUUGUUAUUCGUUUAUCUAUAGCAAGAAUUGAUAGGUUGGUUAUAUUAGUUUAUCUAUAACGAGAAUUACAUUAAUGCAACCUUGAAAACAGUUAAAACAUGCUCAUCCCAGAAACUAAUUAUUCUUAAAAUUAUAGUUAAAACCAGCGGUUAUAGCACCGACAAAGUUAUAGUCUAAAUUCAUCCAAAACCUAAAUAACAAUCGCAUUUGUACGGAAACUUAAAACCAGCGGUUAUAGCACCGACAAAGUUAUAGUCUAAAUUCAUCCAAAACCUAAAUAACAAUCGCAUUUGUACGGAAACUCGUUGCUUCACCUCAUAGACUAGAGUCGGAAUUCUUAUUGGAAUUUGUAGACAGUGUGAAAACUAAUUU